rnacentral:rRNA from 1 species
AUACGGAGGAUCCGAGCGUUAUCCGGAUUUAUUGGGUUUAAAGGGUGCGCAGGCGGCCAUUUAAGUCAGCGGUUAAAUCGUGGGGCUCAACCCCAUUCUGCCGUUGAUACUGGGUGGCUUGAUUGCGGUCGAGGUUGGCGGAAUUCGUUGUGUAGCGGUGAAAUGCAUAGAUAUGACGAAGAACACCGAUUGCGUAGGCAGCUGACCAGACCGCAAAUGACGCUCAUGCUCGAAAGUGCGGGGAUCGAACAGGAUUAGAUACCCUGGUAGUCCGCACAGUAAACGAUGAAUACUUGUUUUCGGCGAUAUAAUGUCGGAGGCAAAGCGAAAGCGAUAAGUACUCCACCUGGGGAGUACGCCGGCAACGGUGAAACUCAAAGGAAUUGACGGGG